rnacentral:tRNA from 1 species
AUUUAAAUAGUUUAAAAAUCAUUUUUUUAAAACAUUGAUUUGUGGAAUCAAAGAUAUAGACACUAUUUUAAAUC